UACGGGGGGGGGCAAGCGUUGUUCGGAAUUACUGGGCGUAAAGGGCGCGUAGGCGGUUGGAUAAGUCAGCUGUGAAAACCACGAGCUCAACUUGUGGCCUGCAGUUGAAACUGUCUGGCUAGAGUGUGGGAGAGGGAAGUGGAAUUCCUGGUGUAGCGGUGAAAUGCGUAGAUAUCAGGAGGAACACCGGUGGCGAAGGCGGCUUCCUGGACCACAACUGACGCU
rnacentral:rRNA from 1 species